UACAGAGGUCCCAAGCGUUGUUCGGAUUCACUGGGCGUAAAGGGUGCGUAGGUGGUUGGGUAAGUUUGAUGUGAAAGCUCUGGGCUCAACCCAGAAAUGGCAUUGAAUACUAUCCAGCUAGAGGAGUGGAGGGGGGACUGGAAUACUUGGUGUAGCAGUGAAAUGCGUAGAUAUCAAGUGGAACACCAGUGGCGAAGGCGAGUCCCUGGACACUUCCUGACACUGAGGCACGAAAGCUAGGGGAGCAAACGGG
rnacentral:rRNA from 1 species